rnacentral:rRNA from 1 species
CUGAUGCAGCACGCCGCGUGAGUGAAGAAGGUUUUCGGAUUGUAAAGCUCUGUCUUUGGGGACGAUAAUGACGGUACCCAAGGAGGAAGCCACGGCUAACUACGUGCCAGCAGCCGCGGUAAUAC